AAGACCUUGCGCUUUUGGGGCGGCCGAUGUCUGAUUAGCUUGUUGGUGAGGUAAAGGCUUACCAAGGCUUCGAUCAGUAGCUGGUCUGAGAGGACGGCCAGCCACACUGGGACUGAGACACGGCCCAGACUCCUACGGGAGGCAGCAGUGGGGAAUUUUGGACAAUGGGGGCAACCCUGAUCCAGCCAUGCCGCGUGAGUGAAGAAGGCCUUCGGGUUGUAAAGCUCUUUCAGCCGGAACGAAACGGUUACGGUUAAUACCCGUGACUACUGACGGUACCGGAAGAAGAAGCACCGGCUAACUACGUGCCAGCAGCCGCGGUAAUACGUAGGGUGCAAGCGUUAAUCGGAAUUACUGGGCGUAAAGCGUGCGCAGGUGGUUUUGUAAGUCAGAUGUGAAAUCCCCGGGCUUAACCUGGGAACU
rnacentral:rRNA from 1 species